rnacentral:rRNA from 1 species
ACUCCUACGGGGGGCAGCAGUGGGAAGUAUUGCACAAUGGGCGGCAGCCUGCAUGCAGCCAUGCCGCGUGUGUGAAGAAGGCCUUCGGGUUGUAAAGCACUUUCAGUCGUGAGGAAGGUAGUGUAGUUAAUAGCUGCAUUAUUUGACGUUAGCGACAGAAGAAGCACCGGCUAACUCCGUGCCAGCAGCCGCGGUAAUACGGAGGGUGCGAGCGUUAAUCGGAAUUACUGGGCGUAAAGCGCACGUAGGCGGAUUGGAAAGUUAGAGGUGAAA